rnacentral:rRNA from 1 species
AUUGAACGCUGGCGGCAGGCCUAACACAUGCAAGUCGAGCGAGCGGCGGACGGGUGAGUAAUGUAUGGGGACUGCCCGAUCGAGGGGGAUAACUACUGGAAACGGUAGCUAAUACCGCAUACUAUCGGAUCACCCAUAUGGGAUUAGCUAGUAGGUGAGGUAAUGGCUCACCUAGGCGACGAUCCCUAGCUGGUCUGAGAGGAUGAUCCGCCACACGGGGACUGAGACACGGCCCAGAAUCAUACGGAGGCAGCAGGGGGGAAGAUUGCACAAUGUGCGCAAGCCUGAUGCAGCCAUGCCGCGGGUAUGAAGAAGGCCCGAGGGGUGUAAAGUACUUGCAGUCGGGAGGCGGUACCGACAGAAGAAGCACCGGCGAACGCCGUGCCAGCAGACGCGGUAAUAC